AACGAACGCUGGCGGCGUGGAUAAGACAUGCAAGUCGAACGGGACUUUUCGUUGUAGCAAUACGAUGGAAAGUCUAGUGGCGAACGGGUGCUUAACACGUGGGCAACCUGCCAUGAAGUGGGGGAUAGCUCGCCGAAAGGCGAAUUAAUACCGCAUGUGAUUAGAGAGGACAUCCUUUCGAAAUUAAAGUCGGGGCAACCUGACGCUUCUUGUGGGGCCCGCGGCCUAUCAGCUAGUUGGUGAGGUAACGGCUCACCAAGGCUUUGACGGGUAGCUGGUCUGAGAGGACGACCAGCCACACUGGGACUGAGACACGGCCCAGACACCUACGGGUGGCAGCAGUCGAGAAUUUUUGACAAUGGGGGAAACCCUGAUCGAGCGACGCCGCGUGGAGGAUGAAGGUCUUCGGAUUGUAAACUCCUGUCAUUGGGGAACAAUGCACAGAUAUUAACUGUAUCUGUGUUGAUAGUACCCGAAGAGGAAGAGACGGCUAACUCUGUGCCAGCCGCCGCCGUAA
rnacentral:rRNA from 1 species